GUUACCGUUCUUUCAUAGCCAAAGAAAUUUUGAAUGCAGUGAAGGAUGUGGAACCAAAGAAUACAACAAAGGAAAUACCAAGCAAAUACGGACUGCGGGAGCAAGUUCCAGUGAAGAGAUUUUCGGAUUCGUGGUGUGCUGACCAACCUCUGCCAUUGAAACGA